AAAGAUAAGCAUUUUUCCCUUGACUUUGGAAUUGUAGUUCCAAGUUAGAUUUCCUUCUCGUUUGUUGAAUGUUGACAAAGAUAAAUAAUUUCCAUUUCUUUGGGCGCAUAAGAAAACCAGCGUUGAGAAUACCCCAUAUUGAAUACUUUGCAUAGAUAAGCAAUAUGAAUGCUUUGUGUUAGAUAAAUCAGAAGACCGUUGCAAGAAUACCCGAAUAACAUAGGAAAACCCAUGUUGAAGUGAGAAAUAUGAUACUCUGAUCAUGUGAGAAAACCCAUCAUAAAUAUUUAUCGAGUCUGAACAAUAUACCCUGUUGUUGAGCGCGUAAGAAAUCCAGCACGUGAGAAGACCAAUAGAUAACAGUGGCACGCCCAAAAGGCGGCUUAUUCCUCGCUGAGCAGCGAUUAGAAUAGAUCAAAACAGCCCAUAGAGCAGAGACGCAAAAUAGUGUAGCCCGUAGAGUAGAACAGAGAAAUACCCAGCACGAUCAGAGCAGAGAAAUGUUUAUCAGCUCAGAGAACUGCCCGUCAGAACAGAGAAAUACAUAUCAGAUCAGAGAAAUCCCCGUCAGAACAGCCCGGUCAGAGCAGAAAAAUACAUAUCAAAUCAGAGAAAUUCCCAUCAGAACAGCCCGGUCAAAGCAGAGAAAUAC
rnacentral:lncRNA from 1 species